rnacentral:misc_RNA from 1 species
GAUGAAUAACGUAGCGAAAUGCGAUAAGUAAUGUGAAUUGCAGAAUUCAGUGAAUCAUCGAAUCUUUGAACGCACAUUGCGCCCGCCAGUAUUCUGGCGGGCAUGCCUGUUCGAGCGUCAUUUCAACCAUCAAGCCCCCGGCUUGUGUUGGGGACCUGCGGCUGCCCGCAGGCCCUGAAAACCAGUGGCGGGCUCGCUGUCACUCCGAGCGUAGUAGCAUAUAUCUCGCUCAGGGCGUGCUGCGGGUUCCGGCCGUUAAAAGCCUUUUUUUACCCAAGGUUGACCUCGGAUCAGGUAGGAAGACCCGCUGAACUUAAGCAUAUCAAUAAGCGGAGGA